rnacentral:misc_RNA from 1 species
GAUGAAGAACGCAGCGAAAUGCGAUAAGUAAUGUGAAUUGCAGAAUUCAGUGAAUCAUCGAAUCUUUGAACGCACAUUGCGCCCCUUGGUAUUCCGAGGGGCAUGCCUGUUCGAGCGUCAUUAUAACCCCUCAAGCUCAGCUUGGUGUUGGGGCCUGCCGCACGGGCAGCCCUUAAAAUCAGUGGCGGUGCCAUCUGGCUCUAAGCGUAGUAAUUCUUCUCGCUAUAGAGUCCCGGUGGAUGCUUGCCAUUAACCCCCAAUUUUCUAUGGUUGACCUCGGAUCAGGUAGGGAUACCCGCUGAACUUAAGCAUAUCAAAAGCGGAGGA